CUACUAUGAUAUAGGAANUUUUUGAAGGAAAGGAAAGCCGAAAAAUACCCAAUAUCUUGUUCCAACAGGAUAUUGGGUAUUUCUUUGUUUAUUCUGAAUCUUUCUAUUCUGAAUUCACUUAACGACGAGAUUUAGUAUCCUUUCUUGCACUUUCAUAACUCGUGAAAUGCCGAGUAGGCACGAAUUCCCCCAAUUUGCGACCUACCAUAGGAUUUGUUAUGUAAAUAGGUAUAUGUUCCUUUCCAUUAUGAAUCGCGAUUGUAUGGCCAACCAUUGCGGGUAGAAUGCUAGAUGCCCGGGACCACGUUACUAUUAUUUCUUUCUCCUCCUUCAUAUUAACCNUUUUCGAUUUUUGCCAAUAAAUGACGAGCUACAAAAGGAUUCGUUUUUUUUUCGUGUCACAGCUGAUUACUCCUUUUUUUCAUUUUAAAGAGUGGCAUCCUAUGUCCACUAUCUCGAUCGAGGUAUG
rnacentral:misc_RNA from 1 species